rnacentral:ncRNA from 2 species
GUACGUUCUCAGGGCGGGGUGAAAUUCCCCACCGGCGGUAACGGGGAUAUCCCGGAGCCCGCGAGCGCUUCCGGUUAACUGCCGGAAGGUCAGCAGAUCCGGUUGAAUUCCGGAGCCGACGGUUAAAGUCCGGAAGGAAGAGAGCAAGC